rfam:Poecilia formosa, whole genome shotgun sequence.
GGCAGUUGUAUUGGUACUUCCAUUUGUGGAACUGGGUUCAAUUCCCAGGACUGCC